rnacentral:rRNA from 1 species
AUGCAGAUCUUUGUCAAGACCCUCACUGGCAAGACCAUCACCCUUGAGGUGGAGUCUUCUGAUACCAUUGAUAACGUCAAGGCCAAGAUCCAGGAUAAGGAGGGCAUCCCUCCAGAUCAGCAGCGCCUCAUGUUGGCUGGCAAGCAGCUGCAGGAUGGCAGGACCUUAGCUGACUACAACAUUCAGAAAGAAGCCACUAUUCACCUUGCCCUCCGUCUGAGGGGAGGCGUGUCUGCGACGGGUCUGCCU